CAGUAACCAAGUUUGGCUUGGAUGCAAUGAUGCAGUAAAUAUCAUAGCUUUUUUUCCAGAGUUGUUUUUCUUAAAGCACUUGUCUGAAGAAAAUCCAGGUUGCUGUAUGUGGGACCUAUUCUGCUUGCAGCCUGAGCAUCAGCAUGGGAGGACUGAGCAGUCAGACCCACAUCAGGAGUGAGGAGAUGCACUGUGCAUCAGUGCAGGCCGAAUGGCAGCAGAUAG
rnacentral:lncRNA from 1 species